rnacentral:rRNA from 1 species
UGCUCAAUGAUUAUUUAUUAAUUAAAUAGCCGCAGUAUAUUGACUGUGCGAAGGUAGCAUAAUCAUUUGUCUUUUAAUUAAAGGCUUGUAUGAAUGGUUGGAUAAGGGAAUAACUUUCUUUAUAUUAAUUAUUGAAUUUAAUAUUUUAGUUAAAAAGCUUAAAUAUUUAAGAGGGACGAGAAGACCCUAUAGAAUUUUAAUUUAAAUUGUAAUAUGUAGUAAUUUAGUUAUUAAAUCUAAUUUUGUUAUUUAUAAUUUUUGUUGGGGCGACAUUAGGAUAUACUAAACUCCUAUAUUUUAAUAUUUAAUGAUUUUUAUAUUUUGGAUCCUGUAUUAAGGAUUAUUAGAUUAAAUUACCUUAGGGAUAACAGCGUAAUUUUUUUGGAGAGUUCUUAUCAAUAGAAAAGUUUGCGACCUCGAUGUUGGAUUAAAAUUAGA